ensembl:lncRNA
UCAGUCAAGUUCAAGUCACUGCAGAGGUAAGACGAACAUUUAGUUCUCGUCGAGACAGAUUCAGUCUUUCAUUAAGAACCAUUUCAGAUACGCUGGCCCACAGUUUUUCACAUAAAGACACAGCCAUGAACCCUCUUCCAGGACAAAUCAGCGAGGGACACAGUCUUUCAGCGAUUAUCACAGAAACGUCCACUCCCUCUCCAAGCCAUCCAGGACCUCCACCCAGAGUUCCGAUUAAAACUGAACUAUGUUGUGCCAAGUACAAGAUCAUCAGGCUGACAGAGCAGGUAAGUGAGCUGUGGGAGUUUAAAAGGAAAAUUCUCCUUGAACGGGAGAAAAAGAUGGAAGACCGCAUGGAGAUAAUUGCCGACAAUGAGGCAGAGAAACUGAAACUCCUGAAGACCAGAAACGACCAGAGCAAAGAGAUCGGUGGUCCUCACAGCCCACCCAAACGUCCAAUCAGAUGUCGGGUGAAAACAAAUUUCUUUCCCGCCGUGGCCAAGUACAGGGAGCUGACACAGAAGGUGGAGACCGUCAGAAGACAGGAAGCCGAAAUAAGCCAUCUGGAGGAGAGUCUACACCUGCAGAAUGAGAAGGUGGAAGAGUACAACGCAGUACAAAAGAUGGAAGACCACAUGAAGGACAUAAUUGCCAACAAUGAGGCAGAGAAACUAAAACUCCUGAAGACCAGCAACAACCAGACCAAAGCGAUCGGUGGUCCUGAGAGCCCACCUAAAUGUUCAAUCGGAUGUCUGGUGAAAAAAGAUUUAUGUUGCUCCGUGGCCGAGGUCAGCGAGCUGACACAGAAGGUGGAGGAUCUGGAGCUGACCGUCAGAAGACAGGAGGCCGAAAUAAGCCAUCUGGAGGAGAGUCUACACCUGCAGAAUGAGAAGGUGGAAAAGUACAACGCCCUGGAGAAGAGAGCAUUGGACUUGGAGAACACUGUAGCAUCCUUGAAGUUAGCCCACGGGUCCCUUGGUGAGAAGUUUAGGGCGGAGAUUUCCAAGAACAAACCGUUGGACGAGGCCUUAACAAAAGUGAGGAAGGAGAACGUGAUCCUCGAGGACAUCUGCUUGUACCUCAAAAAGAAGAGCCUUGGGGUCUUCGGAAGACAGAUGGAGGACAGAGACACUGAGCUUGAGAAGCUCCGAAGGAAACUGCAAGAGGAGAAGACGAGAGAAACGCGACCAGGUUUCUUCAGGCAGCUAUUAAGGAGGAGCCCUGACCGCCCUCCUUCAGUCUACAAUCCACGGGUCCAGCCCUCUACGCCCCCCAUCUCUCGCCAAAUCUCAAAGAGAAGAUUAAAGAGACAGUUAGACAAGUAAAACACCCAUAAUCUAUCGUGGAUCUAACCAGUGCCUGAUACAUACACAACAGUGUCCUCCGAUCUGCCCCCCAGUCUACACCUGUCACAGCCCUCAUCAGAUUCAGCACCUUCCUGCACUUUUCUAUAAACACCACAUGUUUCCUGAAUGUAAGCCUCUCAUCAAACCAUACUCCCAAAUAUUUAAACUCUAACACCCUUCCCAAUUCCUGUCCAUACAUAUGUAACCGAACCUCUCUCACUCUCCUCCUCGAGUACAUCAUGAAACACGAUUUAGUCACAGACAUCCUAAAACCCCAUCUCUUGGACCAUUCUUCCACCACAUCCACCGCCUCUUGCAUCUUCCUCAUUACAAACUUCUCAUUCUUACCGCUCUUCCACAAAGCCCCAUCAUCUGCAUAUAGUGCCAUACCCAUACCUCUCCCUACAUCCCUAAACACAUCGUCUAUCAUUAUUGUAAACAACACAGGGCUAGUCACACUGCCCUGUGGGGUGCCAUUAGCAACCUCAUGCCUCUCUGACAAUAUCGUCC